UACUGUUCUCCCUCCUACUUGGACACAGUCUGUAGUGGCCUCCUCGGGACAUCACACAGAGGGACCGGAAGAUCCGAUCGGUAGCCACCGGCCUCCUCAGCAAGUAUCGAAUAUCAUCAUUGUUGUAAUCGAGGCGGUUGUUCCCCAGCUCAACGUCCAGAACCGUGGAAGAUUCGAGGGCCUGUCUCACUCCCGCCGGCUGACUCGCAGCGUUGACCGAGAUCGGAGGGGGAACUGUGGCGAUGAGGUCACUGAGGCACUUAGUACAGCAGACAAGUGGCAGAGCUGGGAUUAGAACCCAGGACCUUCUGGCUUUACCCACUAAGCCUCACCGCUUAUCAAACGGAACAUCAGUUGGAGAGAAGAUUCUGUCGGGAGUCUACAGAAGAACAAAGACAGUCGUCACGAUCAGGUGAAGCAGUAGAGGGCCAACUGAGUUUGGCAUAAUGUCAAAAAGGCAUCCAGCGUUACAUUUGGAGUCCUGUGGAG